rnacentral:piRNA from 1 species
GCUAAGAAUUUGGGUGUCUGGAUGUGUU